rnacentral:misc_RNA from 1 species
UUUCAUCUGUCUUUAUGCCUGGCUGCCAACACAAGCAACAAUCAGAAAAUUCAAUAAACAGAAAACCUUUUCUUCAGUACAAUUCACAAUCUCUAUUUUCUUUCUAACUAGAGUACUCAUUAACUAAAAAGAUUUUACAACUAAUUGCAAAGCUUUGUUAGCAUAAAAGAUGCAGGUUAACAACUAUAAAAUUAUUAUGCAAUGAUAAGAAGAGGAACUUUGUUAUUUAAACAUACAAACUUACAAAUUCAAAGUCUAAUCUGCCAAUCCAACUCUUAU